rnacentral:rRNA from 1 species
GACGAACGCUGGCGGCGUGCCUAAUACAUGCAAGUAGAACGCUGAAGGAGGAGCUUGCUUCUCUGGAUGAGUUGCGAACGGGUGAGUAACGCGUAGGUAACCUGCCUGGUAGCGGGGGAUAACUAUUGGAAACGAUAGCUAAUACCGCAUAAGAGUAGAUGUUGCAUGACAUUUGCUUAAAAGGUGCAAUUGCAUCACUACCAGAUGGACCUGCGUUGUAUUAGCUAGUUGGUGGGGUAACGGCUUACCAAGGCGACGAUACAUAGCCGACCUGAGAGGGGGAUCGGCCACACUGGGACUGAGACACGGCCCAGACUCCUACGGGGGGGAGCAGUAGGGAAUCUUCGGCAAUGGACGGAAGUCUGACCGAGCAACGCCGCGUGAGUGAAGAAGGUUUUCGGAUCGUAAAGCUCUGUUGUAAGAGAAGAACGAGUGUGAGAGUGGAAAGUUCACACUGUGACGGUAUCUUACCAGAAAGGGACGGCUAACUACGUG